UUUUUCUCUCACCUACACUAUUUUAGCCACCUGAGCUAGUCUAGGUGGCUAAAUCAAUUAUUAUUUUCCAAGUAACAGAGCGGGUAUCUGUUACAUGCCCUCAAACUAACAAUCUUUUAUGUUAUUUUGAAUCCAUUAACCAAUUUUAUUUUAUUUUAUCAAUGCCGGUAGAAGAAUGGAUAAUUCAGUGCUUGUUCGAAUUGUAGCUCAUUUUGUAUUGUAUAGUUUUUUGGCAUAGCUUUUGUGAUGCUUCAUGACUAUGUGUGCUGAAAUGAUGUUAUUAUAAUGAGCUUUUUACUAUUUGAGUUCUUCCUAUACGAUGGUUCCAGCCUCUUUGUAUAUUGGGUUUAGUGCUUCAAUAAUAUGGGUUGUUGGACAGGUGUAACAUGUCAAGGUUGUAAAUUCCUUAUUCUUCAUGGAGUUACAUUUGCUUUUGUUGAUCUUUAUUUCACCUUUGAGGGGACAUAUCUCUCUUCCACUGCCUGCGAUCAUGCCAGGCAUUGGAAUUUGCAUGAACCAGCAGUGAUCAGUGGCUUCGUUGGGGUAUUUUGGGCAAUGCAUGCACUACACCAGGCUAUGAUCCUACUUUAGCUGAAUAAAUUUGUUAUUUUUUCCCUAGUAAAAACAAAUAAAGAAGCAACUCCUCUUGUAGACAAGUCUUAAUGUAUAAAACAUUGUUUUGCAGUUCGUCGGCAAUCUCCUCACAUUUGCUCUUCUGAAAAAUGGACAAGCUUGUCAUUUCUUGGGCUGGUCUUUACUUAUUGGCACAACUCUCCCAAAUAUCCUUUUGUCUCUAUUCUCUUAUGGGUUCAUAAUUGUUGCCUCGUGUCCUUAUUGCAUAACCCUCGGUCCAAAUUUUUUUUUUCCCACAUCAAAGUGAUAAUGGUAGGCAUACACUUACCUACUUUUGAGAUUGAUUUUGAUUUAACAAAAAAGAUUAAGGAAUACAGUGCUAUGAUCGUUCAGGUUUAUGGUGUUGAUAUACUUGUGUAAAGAUUGCUGUAUAUUUCUGCUAUCUUGUUCAUUUGAAAUCUUACAUAUUUCAUUUAUGCUCCUUGAAAAUAUGUAAUGUGUACACUAUGUAAAAGAUUUAAAGAAUAUGUAAAUGUAAGCUGGGUUUUCCCUUCUACCCUCAAGCAAUAAACACUCGCUUCUAGUACAAACACAACUGAGCAUUAAGUAAUUCAUAAAACUUACUGAAUUCGUUUCCUAUCACUGCAGGAUGGAAGCACCAGCAACACAAAUUCAUUGUUCCCUGUAUUUCAUUGUAUGAUAAUCUUAGGUAUUAUACUAAUGUGCUUCUUGAGUAUAAGGAGUGGCAAUAGUAUGAAAGAUGAUGAACCAUCAGAUGCUGGUGUUAGCGUUCAUUCAUCCAUAAAGUCUCUAUUCAGAUCACUUGCCAGUGCAUUGUCUGAUGUAAGGAUGUUGUUGGUCGUGCCCUUAAUUGCUUACUCAGGACUACAACAAGCGUUUGUGUGGGCUGAAUUUACCAAGUAUGCUGUAAUCCCAGCACUUGGUGUUUCUGGCGUGGGUAUUGCAAUGGCUGUAUAUGGGGCACUUGAUGGAAUAGUAAGUAUGAAAAUGUAAUAAUUUGAUGGUUUCUCCGUAGAGGCAACCUGAAGCUAAUUAAUUGGCAUGGCUAGUGGAGAACUCAAUACUCUAUACCUACUUUUUUUGGCUGCCUUGUUGGGGACGGUGAUGGAGUUUUAAACACACAAUUAAGUGCCUUGCUAGGAAUGCUUUUCAAGCAUGACUCGGAAGGAGCAUUUGCACAGUUAAAGAUAUGGCAAAGCGCUUCAGCCUUCAAUUGCUAUGGUGUUCUUUCUGAGCUUACACCUCUCUUUGCAGGCAAUGCUUCUAACUAUGCUUGCUUCAUUGAGCUUAUCGUUUGGCAGCUUUCUGUUCCUAGCUCUCAAGGUGGCCUAGGAAUCAUUUUCCUCCACUGGUAAAUGGAUUUCUGCUUUGUUUGUUUUAAUAGAAAAUGUGAGAGGAAAGAAAGUAUGAGGGAAAAAACUGGAAAGAAAGCAAAUUUUCCUCUGGAUAAGGAAAGAAAAAUGAGAGGAAGGAAAAGUAGGUAAAAAAAUAGAAGGUGGGACUUUAUAUUUUCUUCCCAAGUUUUCUCUCCAUAUGGAAAGAUUUUGGGAAGAAAUUUAUUAUUUCUUGUGUGACCUCUUUUCUA